CUCUCUGCUCACCUGCCCUUGAUCUGCAAUCAACACUCCUGCUAGCCAUCAUCCAAUCACCACUGCCUACAAGAACCCUGUACUGCCCCCCAGUCCCUGCCGGAUCGUUGUGCCUACACGGACCCAUCUGCAUCCAUCUCUGCCACCUUCCUCACUCCCUUGCCAGUUCACCACUGUCUGGAUCCCUCCCUCAGCACCCCAGGAUCCCCCACCAGCUAUCCCUUCACCCUGCGCUUAUGUAAUAAAACUUUGAGAAACAA